rnacentral:rRNA from 1 species
AUUGAACGCUGGCGGCAUGCUUUACACAUGCAAGUCGAACGGUAACAGGUUAAGCUGACGAGUGGCGAACGGGUGAGUAAUGCAUCGGAACGUGCCCGGUCGUGGGGGAUAACGCAGCGAAAGCUGCGCUAAUACCGCAUACGAUCUGAGGAUGAAAGCGGGGGACCGUAAGGCCUCGCGCGAUCGGAGCGGCCGAUGUCAGAUUAGGUAGUUGGUGGGGUAAAGGCUCACCAAGCCAACGAUCUGUAGCUGGUCUGAGAGGACGACCAGCCACACUGGGACUGAGACACGGCCCAGACUCCUACGGGAGGCAGCAGUGGGGAAUUUUGGACAAUGGGCGAAAGCCUGAUCCAGCAAUGCCGCGUGCAGGAAGAAGGCCUUCGGGUUGUAAACUGCUUUUGUACGGAGCGAAAAGGUCUCCUCUAAUACAGGGGGCUCAUGACGGUACCGUAAGAAUAAGCACCGGCUAACUACGUGCCAGCCGCCGCCGUUAA